rnacentral:lncRNA from 1 species
UCAGGGGUCAGGGGUCAGGGGGGAGGGGGAGAACUCAGCAGCAGACUUGGUUCAUGCCUUAGUUUAUAUUUCUCACAUGAUAUCCUUAUGAAACAUACAUCAUUCUGAAAUACAAUAAAACUAGUGAAAUCAAGACAUGGACCCACAUCAGAAUAAUGUUAGUCAUUCUGUAUAGAAGAGAAACAUGCUGAUUCUGCUCUGAGGGAUUCUAGAACAUGCUGAUUCUGCUCUGAGGGAUUCUAGAACAACAUGAUGAUUCUGCUCUGAGGGAUUCUAGAACAACAUGAUGAUUCUGCUCUGAGGGAUUCUAGAACAACAGGAUGAUUCUGCUCUGAGGGAUUCUAGAACAACAUGAUGAUUCUGCUCUGAAGGAUUCUAGAACAACAUGAUGAUUCUGCUCUGAGGGAUUCUAGAACAACAUGAUGAUUCUGCUCUGAGGGAUUCUAGAACAACAUGAUGAUUCUGCUCUGAGGGAUUCUAGAACAACAUGAUGAUUCUGCUCUGAGGGAUUCUAGAACAACAUGAUGAUUCUGCUCUGAGGGAUUCUAGAACAACAUGAUGAUUCUGCUCUGAGGGGAUUCUAGAACAACAUGAUGAUUCUGCUCUGAGGGAUUCUAGAACAACAUGAUGAUUCUGCUCUGAGGGAUUCUAGAACAACAUGAUGAUUCUGCUCUGAGGGAUUCUAGAACAACAUGCUGAUUCUGCUCUGAGGGAUUCUAGAACAACAUGAUGAUUCUGCUCUGAGGGAUUCUAGAACAACAUGAUGAUUCUGCUCUGAGGGAUUCUAGAACAACAUGAUGAUUCUGCUCUGAGGGAUUCUAGAACAACAUGCUGAUUCUGCUCUGAGGGAUUCUAGAACAACAGGGAAUUCUGUUUCCUUCCUGUUGAUGUACUGUCAGAUGGAAACACUCUAACCCAACAUGUAGAUUCUACUCUGUGAAUGACGAGGUUUGUGGCACAGAUCAUUAUCAUGAAAUAACAGACAACAGUUCACAGUAAACACAGACUAUCAUUGUGCACAACCCUAUACAACCCUAUUACAUAGCAUCAGCAAGGUACAUAAAACACUGACACCAUCCCUUUAAGGCCGAUAGAUAGGUCAUCCCUUUAAGACCUACACACAGUUCACCCCGUAAAAGACAGACAAUAAAGGUCAACCCUGUAAGACCGACAGACAGGUCAUCCCUUUAAGACUGACGGGCAGGUCAUCCCUUUAAGACCGACAGACAGGUCAUCCCUUUAAGACUGACGGGCAGGUCAUCCCUUUAAGACCGACAGACAGGUCAUCCCUUUAAGACCGACAGACAGGUCAUCCCUUUAAGACCGACAGGCAGGUCAUCCCUUUAAGACCGACAGACAGGUCAUCCCUUUAAGACCGACGGGCAGGUCAUCCCUUUAAGACCGACAGACAGGUCAUCCCUUUAAGACCGACAGACAGGUCAUCCCUUUAAGACCGACAGACAGGUCAUCCCUUUAAGACCUCAAAUAUAUUUGAAAAACGAGUUAAAAAAUGAUUAUUUACAAAAAUACUUUGCUGUGUAAACUUUUCAUUUUCAUUCCAACCAAAGGUUAGA